GUGGGGAAUAUUGGACAAUGGGCGCAAGCCUGAUCCAGCAAUGCCGCGUGUGUGAAGAAGGCCUGCGGGUUGUAAAGCACUUUCAGUGGGGAGGAAGGCCUCGGUGUUAAUAGUACCGAGGAUUGACGUUACCCAAAUAAGAAGCACCGGCUAACUCUGUGCCAGCAGCCGCGGUAAUACAGAGGGUGCAAGCGUUAAUCGGAAUUACUGGGCGUAAAGGGUGCGUAGGUGGUUUAUUAAGUCGUAUGUGAAAACCCUGGGCUUAACCUAGGAAUUGCAUAUGAAACUGAUAGGCUAGAGUGCAGUAGAGGGAAGUGGAAUUUCCAGUGUAGCGGUGAAAUGCGUAGAUAUUGGAAGGAACACCAGUGGCGAAGGCGACUUCCUGGACUGUUACUGACACUGAGGCACGAAAGCGUGGGGAGCGAACAGGAUUAGAAACCCGAGUAGUCC
rnacentral:rRNA from 1 species